GGUACCACAGCAUCCGGGCCCGAUCCACCAGACUGCUAAACAGCUUCUUUCAACAGGCUGUCAGGAUACUGAACUCUGCCUACUACCUCCACCCUCUGCCCCCUUCCCCUGGACUGUAACACACCCAUUUCACUAUGAUUCUACCUCAGCUGUUCUCCACUUCCAUUUUCUGCUCCAUAACAUUACAAUCCACAAUCUGUUUUGCACCUUACUGCACCAUUUGCACCUUAAUAUACCAUUUGCACAACUGUCAAACAAGCUGCUACCAUAUUGCACUACUGCUAUUACUGUCAGGGUGUCAGCUCUGAGCCAGGGCUUUUUAUUUUGUAGUUCAGUUGUGUUUGUAUUAUUUCCUGUUUUAUUUUGAAAUCAUUGACCUCCCUCUUGUUUCAGGUGUCUUGUCUUCCCCUUCCUUCUGUGCUCCCUCCUCCUGGUGAUUACCUACCCCGCCCUAAUGUGGUUCACCUGUGUCUCAUUGUCUGCCCUGCUCCUGUGUAUUUAGUGUCUGUGUCUCCCUGCACUCCCUGCCAGUUCGUCUUGUGCCUUUGCCAGACCUACCAGCCUUCGCUUUGGGUCCAGGAGACAUCCCCUCCACACUGAAGUGUACUUCUGCCUCCAGAGCUGCAGAGUGUGGAUCAAUGAUUGCAAACCACCUACUGUUACUAUUAUUACCUUUCGUCUCUGUGGAAUUUGCAUUGUGGUAUAUUCCCUUAUCUCUCUCUCUCUCUCUCUUUGUCUCUCAACCUAGCCAGUUGCAGCAAAUGGUUGUCCACCCUGAGCCCAUUUCUGCUUGAGGUUUUUGCCUGUCAAAGGGAAGUUUUGUCUUGCCACUGUCACCAAGUGCUUUGUUAUGGUGGGAAUUGUUGGGUCACUGUAAAAAAUAUUAUCAAGACUAUGGUCACGACCUGCUCUACAUGAAAAAUUUGAUAACCUCAGUAUUAAAUAAAAGUGACCUGACUCAACUUGGCUUUCUCCUUCUUCCACAAGGAUCUCUGGCCAAGGAGAGUCUAAA